rnacentral:rRNA from 1 species
GACAGAAGGGGCAAGCGUUGCUCGGAAUUACUGGGCGUAAAGGGCGCGUAGGCGGGAUGGCAAGUCGGUCGUGAAAUCCCUCGGCUCAACUGAGGAUCGUCGAUCGAUACUGCCGUUCUUGAGGAUUGCAGAGGAGACUGGAAUUCCCGGUGUAGCGGUGAAAUGUGUAGAGAUCGGGAGGAACACCAAUGGCGAAGGCAGAUCUCUGGGCCGUAACUGACGCUGAGGAGCGAAAGCAUGGGGAGCGAACAGG